UACGGAGGGGGCUAGCGUUGUUCGGAAUUACUGGGCGUAAAGCGCACGUAGGCGGAUUUGUUAGUCAGGGGUGAAAUCCCGAGGCUCAACCUCGGAACUGCCUUUGAUACUGCAAAUCUCGAGUCCGGAAGAGGUGAGUGGAAUUCCUAGUGUAGAGGUGAAAUUCGUAGAUAUUAGGAAGAACACCAGUGGCGAAGGCGGCUCACUGGUCCGGUACUGACGCUGAGGUGCGAAAGCGUGGGGAGCAAACAGG
rnacentral:rRNA from 1 species